CCUACGGGAGGCAGCAGUGGGGAAUAUUGCACAAUGGGGGAAACCCUGAUGCAGCGACGCCGCGUGAGCGAUGAAGUAUUUCGGUAUGUAAAGCUCUAUCAGCAGGGAAGAAAAUGACGGUACCUGACUAAUAAGCCACUGCUAACUACGUGACAGCAGCCGCGGGAAUACGUAGGGGGCAAGCGUUAGCCGGAUUUACUGGGGGUAAAGGGAGCGUAGACGGCGGUGCAAGCCAGAUGUGAAAGCCCCGGGCUCAACCCCGGGACUGCAUUUGGAACUGUGCUGCUAGAGUGUUGGAGAGGCAGGCGGAAUUCCUAGUGUAGCGGUGAAAUGCGUAGAUAUUAGGAGGAACACCAGUGGCGAAGGCGGCCUGCUGGACGAUGACUGACGUUGAGGCUCGAAAGCGUGGGGAGCAAACAGGAUUAGAUACCCUUGUAGUC
rnacentral:rRNA from 1 species